ensembl:ncRNA W01A11.13 ncRNA
AGCCCCCCUUCGAGUGGACGAAUAAGACGAGUAUCGGGUGCGUGAAGUGUACCGCUGGUGCUCCUGUCGCUAAGCAUGCUCAACGACAACUCGGGUGCCCGAUGGUGGUAUAACUAACAAUCCGCAAACAUGAGAUGACUCCGUGUCUU